rnacentral:ncRNA from 1 species
UCAUCAGGCCGACAAAUCGCUGGCGCUGAACGGUGACUAAGCCGCAAAUCUCGUUGGUUGUCCCUUCGAAGUCUGGCGUCAACGAGUAGGCGAGUCGUGGCGGUUAGCGUCGGAGGCUAGGGCGUAGGCCCAGGAGGAGCAUCCGUCGGUGCAGAUUAUGGGGGUAGUAGCAAAUAAUCAAGUGAGUAUCCUGAUGAGUGAAGUGGAGAAGGGUUCCCCGUGACCAGUACCUGAAUGCGGGUUAGUCGAUCCUAAGAUUUGGGUAAUGCCUUGUAUCAUUGACGUCGAGGUUCGUGAUUAUUGUCUAAUAUCGAAAGGGAAGCGGGUUAAUAUUCCCGUACCUGCAAAGAUGAACCGUGAGCCCAAGAGGCAUUGGCGGUGUCGCAUUCGAACUCCCCCCCCCCCCUCCCUCCCCCUGAGAGAGAUAUCAAAGAGAGUGGUAGGAGAUAAGCUACGAAUGUAUUUAGUACCAUGACGGGAAACGCAAAAACGUUUCCACUGGGAAAUUCACUUGAUACGAGGAGGGGU